CCUACGGGUGGCAGCAGUGAGGAAUAUUGGUCAAUGGGCGCGAGCCUGAACCAGCCAAGUCGCGUGAGGGAUGACGGCCCUACGGGUUGUAAACCUCUUUUGCCGGGGAGCAACGGGCGCCACGUGUGGCGCCACUGAGAGUACCCGGAGAAAAAGCAUCGGCUAACUCCGUGCCAGCAGCCGCGGUAAUACGGAGGAUGCGAGCGUUAUCCGGAUUCAUUGGGUUUAAAGGGUGCGCAGGCGGGCCUUUAAGCCGGCGGUGAAAUCGCGGGGCUCAACCCCGCCGAGCCGUCGGAACUGGGGGCCUUGAGUGCGGCGGAGGCAUGCGGAAUGCGCGGUGUAGCGGUGAAAUGCAUAGAUAUCGCGCAGAACCCCGAUUGCGAAGGCAGCGUGCCGUGCCGCCACUGACGCUGAGGCACGAAAGCGCGGGGAUCGAACAGGAUUAGAUACCCGGGUAGUC
rnacentral:rRNA from 1 species